CAGUCGCCGCGGGAAUACAGAGGAUGCAAGCGUUAUCCGGAAUGAUUGGGCGUAAAGCGUCUGUAGGUGGCUUUUCAAGUCCGCCGUCAAAUCCCAGGGCUCAACCCUGGACAGGCGGUGGAAACUACCAAACUGGAGUACGGUAGGGGCAGAGGGAAUUUCCGGUGGAGCGGUGAGAUGCGUUGAGAUCGGAAAGAACACCAACGGCGAAAGCACUCUGCUGGGCCGACACUGACACUGAGAGACGAAAGCUAGGGGAGCAAAUGGGAUUAGAGACCCCAGUAGUCCCUGUCUCUUAUAC
rnacentral:rRNA from 1 species